GACAGAGGAUGCAAGCGUUAUCCGGAAUUAUUGGGCGUAAAGCGUCCGCAGGUGGCUGUUCAAGUCUGCUGUCAAAGCGCAGAGCUUAACUCUGUACAGGCGGUGGAAACUGAAGAGCUAGAGUAUGGUAGGGGUAGAGGGAAUUCCCGGUGUAGCGGUGAAAUGCGUAGAUAUCGGGAAGAACACCAGUGGCGAAAGCGCUCUACUGGGCCAUAACUGACACUGAGGGACGAAAGCUAGGGGAGCGAAAGGG
rnacentral:rRNA from 1 species